rnacentral:rRNA from 1 species
ANACGGAUACAUACUCAGCGGCGAACGGGUGAGUAACACGUGGGUAAUCUUCCUCCGAGUCUGGGAUAACUUUCCGAAAGGGGAGCUAAUACUGGAUAAUCCCGAGAGGUCAUAGGAGCGUGCGGGUAAACAUUUAUUGCUCGUGAGAUGAGCCCGCGCCCUAUUAUCUAGUUGAGUGACGUAAUGGCUCUCCCCUGCGACAAUCGGUACCCGGACUGAGAGGAUGAUCAGCCACAAGGGAACUGAGACACCGCCCAUAAUCCUUGCGAAUGCACUUGUUUUGAAUGUUGCUCAAUGGCGGCAA